rnacentral:lncRNA from 1 species
AAUACAUCCAGUGAAGAGGGAUUUCGAAUGGAAACCAAGUGGAAAGAGAAAAUAAAAUGGUUCAGUUACUGUUAUUAGAUGAUGCCUUAUAUCCAACUCUAACCUGAAGUUCAGGCCCUAUCACAGAAUAGGGCCUGACACAAAACCUAUCUAAAGUGUGGGAUUCCCGUCCACCUGGUGGACGGGAAAUCUGAUUGGUUGAUCAGCAUCAUGAAGGAUUUUGAUUGGUUGCAAGUUCACAUAAACAACAGUUUUAAAAAUAGCUCGGUCAAGGCAACAAUUAAUAUAAAGGUCAAACGCACGUACAAAUUCCAUUAUCGAUUUCUUCGAAUUUCUUUUUCUUUUAUGCUUUAUGGCAGAAAAUAAAUCAAACAAACAGUAUUUUGAAAGGGCUUUAUCAAAAUCUUGGACGAAUUUUGGACACACGACGCCGAAAGAACAGCCAAACUAGUCAU